rnacentral:rRNA from 1 species
GAUGAACGCUGGCGGUAUGCUUAACACAUGCAAGUCGAACGGACUCGUCGGAGUUAGUGGCGGACGGGUGAGUAACGCGUGAGAAGCUGGCUUUGGGUUCGGGACAACCACUGGAAACGGUGGCUAAUACCGGAUGUGCCGAGAGGAAAAAGGGAAAUUGCCUGAAGAUGAGUUCGCGUCUGAUUAGCUAGUUGGUGAGGUAAAGGCUCACCAAGGCAGCGAUCAGUAGCUGGUCUGAGGGGAUGACCAGCCACACUGGGACUGAGAGACGGCCCAGACGCCUACUGGAGGCAGCAGUGGGGAAUUUUCCGCAAUGGGCGAAGGCCUGACGGAGCAAUACCGCGUGAGGGAAGAAGGCUCUUGGGUUGUAAACCUCUUUUCUUAGGGAAGAACAAAAUGACGGUACCUAAGGAAUCAGCAUCGGCUAACUCCGUG